ensembl:lncRNA
UUUGAGGUUCAGUUUGUGUUUGAGGUUCAGUUUGAGGUUCAGUUUGAGGUUCAGUUUGUGUUUGAGGUUCAGUUUGAGGUUCAGUUUGAGGUUCAGUUUGUGUUUGAGGUUCAGAUUGAGGUUCAGUUUGAGGUUCAGUUUGAGGUUCAGUUUGAGGUUCAGUUUGAGGUUCAGAUUGUGUUUGAGGUUCUCAUUGUGUUUGAGGUUCAGUUUGUGUUUGAGGUUCAGAUUGAGGUUCAGUUUGAGGUUCAGAUUGAGGUUCAGUCUGAGGUUGUACUUGAGUUUUGUCUUGGUGUUUGUGAGUGUCCAUCCUCCUCUCCCCCCUCCUGCUCCUCCAGCCUGCAGCAGAGGAACGCUGAGCUGACCUCCUCCCUGGAAGAAGAGCGCCGCCGUGUGGCCGCCCUGGAGGCGUGUCUGAGGAGCGCUGGCCGCAGCCACGACCAACCCCCCCCCGACCAGAACACAAUACUGUGACACAUCACCCAGCGGCCAACUUGGAUGGCCAUCUCGGGCGGCCAUCUUGAAUGGCCAUCUCGGGCAGCCAUCUUGGAUGGCCAUCUCGGGCGGCCAUCUUGGAUGGCCAUCUCGGGCGGCCAUCUCGGUGCUCAACGGUACCUGGGUGGAGGAAAUCAAAGCAGAACACAUCCAGUUAGCUCCACCCAGCUCCACGUAGAACCAAGAUGGCCGCCUGUCAGGGAUGGCUCGUUCUCACGGGAACCUGAACGCCGUUCUUUAAAACACAAUUACAAUUACAAUUAGGGCAUUUAGCAGACGCUUUUAUCCAAAGCGACUGACAUCGGUUAAUACACACAUUGACACACCGACGGUCAGAGUCAACCAUGCAAGGCGACAGCCAGCUCGUCAGAAGCAGUUAGGGUUAAGUGUCUCGCUCAGGGACACAUCAACACUCAGCUAGGAGGAGCUGGGGAUCGAACCAGCAACUAGCUCUCCUCCUGAGCUAAGCCCGACCCCCCCGACCCCUCCACACGGUUGCUGAGUUACGAGUGCGUGUAAGGCCUGUAUUGCCCAAUGUUUAUCAUGUUAUUUUUAUUAUUAUGUUAAGAGAUUCACAUUGAGGACCACCACUGUUUUAUCACCUUGCUCACAGACAGACUAUGCUUUUCCUCAGCAUCUUAAAAUAUUUUAGUAUCGAAUGUAUCAAAAUUACAGUAUCGAAUGUCAAGUAAUUUAAAAUGUUUUGUGCCAUGAAUAAAGUUCAACAAACCUCUUU